AUUACUGUGUUUGGUGCUGGCAUCUGCAGGCCUCUGCUGUUUUUAGAGUUUUAGUCUGAAUUCUGAGGUAAGGCUUUGAAUAGCAGUUUCAGUCAUUGUGGCCUGCUUGCAGAAGUAUAUAUCUUCUGUUGCUGUUAUUACAAUAUAUUUUAUUUAUUUGUUUCAGCGCCAACAACGGCUGAACUAGAAGACCUAAAUUUUACACUAACGGAUAUUGAUCUUACCGAGAAAGGGUUAAUUGACGAGCAUUACGGUUGUCCGAACCAGCCAAAUCAGAAUGACUUCCGCAAAGAGCCAGCGGUGAUACAACCUGGACCGAGCAGAGCGCAAACGCCCAGUGAAGCAAGACUGUGUCCGAAGCCAAUCAACCCGAGUGUGUUCCAUGGAGAGCUAGCAGUGAUACAGCCUGGACCGAGCAGAGCGCAAACGCCCAGUGAAGCAAGAUUGUGUCCGAAGCCAGUCAAACCGAGUGUGUUCCGCAAAGAGCUAGCGGUGAUACAUCAUGGAUCGAGCAGACCACAUACACCCCGUAAAGGAAGAUUGAGUUUAGCUAAAAGGAGGCUCCCAGCAGAAAUAGCUGCUCAGAACACAUCAACACCGAAGCGGCAGAGGACUGAAGAACAAAACCGGUCAGUUGUUGUAAUAAGUUCUCCAGAGACAUCAGAGCAACACAUUCGCUUCCCCAAGGAAGCUCCCCGGCUCACCACGUCACACGGCCUCCCUCGAAACGUUAAUCAGGGGACAACGCUUCCUGCAGCACUAACAACCCACCGUGACAUUCUUGCUCAAGCACUCUUUACGGCAGGAAUACAGCCUCAUCCCGAUACAUUUGGCCAGACGGACGUAACAAUUCAGUCUGUACAUGAGAAUAUUGACACCGAGCUAGUAGAAGCGGCGGCAGCAGCAGAGGCAGCC